GAUCUGGAUGCAGCACUUGAAGUCAUACCAACACGCCAGCACUUCAGGCAGACUCAGAGCCAUCAGUACCAGAACACCUCGUCCUGGAGGGGCUCCAGCUCAAUGCAGCCUGCAGUUCUCACCCCAACAGAGACAAGGUCUUCAGCGCCAGUGCCAAGGGCACAGCAGCAAGGGGCACCUUGAAGGUGGUUGAUCCAGGCAGGCAAAGCACGCUGAGCACGGGGGAAACCAGAAGGCACAGACUUCAGUGUUAUUUUGUGGGAAAACAUUUAGAAACUGCAAGGAAGCUGUAAAAGAAUGCAACCAGGAUCCAGCUUCUGAAGACUAGAAAAAUGACUAGAUUGUUUUCAAGACUAGAAAGCUUCUAAAGUAAUGGAGAAAAAGUGUUCAAGAGAAAAGUGCUCCUGGGGCAAAAAGGCAAAUGAUGACAAAAUAGGGGCUCUUUUGCCAUCAUCUGCUCGCUCUUCUUGGUCUCCUGGAGGGCUGUCACUUGAAUGAGGCCAAAGGACAGACUGGGAUCCAUUGCUGCCACAACGGAUGCUGGGGUGAAGAUGGGGAUGCCAUCUUUUGUGGGGAUGCCACAAGAGCUGGAGUGAGGAUGGCCACCCAGUAAGCCCAGUUGCUGCUCUCCUGCUGCUGAGCCUGGUGGGAUCACACUCUGUAGCUGAAAGAGGUAUAAAGCAGUAUAUUUUACCUCCUAUUUGCUGUGGAAAUUUGCCUGUCACAGGUUUGUUGAAGGUGGUAACUCACUAAGCCACAAGCUCAGUCACGCGUUUAAUUCUGAAGUGUGGUGGGAUUUAAUCUCAGUCCAUAUGAAGACAUUAAACAACACCCACUGGCAAACCCAUCAUCCACAACCUGGAACAGGUCCUGCACAGCAGCUUCCUCCUCAUGCGUGGAAGUGAUUCCUCCCAUCCAGCACAUGCUUGGAGGCACAUCUGAAGUAUGAUGUACAGUUUCCAUGCUAACAGUCCUGUCUCUGAAAGAAAGCUGCUUUGGAACAGGUGUCUCUGAGAGAAUUGUGAGGAGAUGGUGACCCUAAGCUGUGCCUCAGCAAAAUACAAAUGCUAGAGCACAGUCCUGAUCAGACCUCAUCUUGCAAACAUAUGACUUUGGGCAGCUUUGCAAAUGACUUGGCUAUCCUGAGCAAGUCUAUUUUAAUGUCAAGAGGAGACCAGCCACACACUCACUCAUGCUACACCUCCAGGUAUGUGACUUCAAGAACUUCAUCUUCCGGAUAAAAUAAAAGCGUCUGCUCUGAAUCAGACAGUCUCCUCUACAUCACUGCUAAUAGUGGAUUGCUCAUAUAAUCUACCUCUGAUUUCCCCACUACUGAUAGCAAUAGAUCCCAGAAAAUUAGGUGUGAUUUAGGCAGUCAGCCUGCUCUAGAAGUUGCAGGUCUUCAACUGCUUCAGCUGCUGAGCCUUUUGGAACAGCUCGAGCUGUAAAUAUGUGCUCGAUGCUUUUGCAUUUUUUAUUAUAUGCUGAUGCAGUUUUUCUGUGUCCUCGCUAAUUUGCCAAUAAAACAUGGCACACAGAAUUCAUGUGUUGUGCUGGGGACAAACUGUUUAGAAGACAGUAUCAGAAAACUACAGAUUAAAAUGUUUCCAGGUGGAAAAAGCAUAAGAAUUGGAAGCAAGAUGACUCUAUAAUCUGUUGUCCUGAGGGGCUCUUCUGAUAUUAAAAAAAAAAAAAAGGUUUGCUUUCAUCGGUGCCAAAGCCAUUUAAAGGAAAACUGUUCAUUACUUUAUAAUCUCGUGUUUAAGGGCAAUUUGCAUUUUUCAGAAGGAAACUUGACUCUCCAUAAAUUCAGAUUGUUGGAUUGGGGCUUCAACAACAGAACAGCAAAUUGGUCAUUGCUUUUGGUACAACACCAUCUGUUAGUAUGGAUCUUUUUAAAAACAGCUUGUCCUGUAUUUCACCCUUCAUCUGUUCUUCUUUAGAGCUGCUCACCUUCAGUCCAAGGACUUAAAAGCACUGAAUGUACACUACUUAAGCUUCCCCAUUAGGACUAUUCAAGGAAGAAUGCAACAGGCUAUGAGGAGCAGUUGACCUGCCCAGGUCUGCUCUGCCUGACCUUUAGAGUUCCUCCCAGUUGUUUGCCUCAUCCAAAGCUUCAUCUUUUCUUCUCUGCCACAGUACAAAAUGCCAUUCCUGCCUGGCAAUGGAAGCGCAUGGCCAAUACUCCUCUUUCCCCACUCGAGUGAGGAAAUUUUACUUGUAGAUGUAACAAAUAAAAAACUUUUUGUGUCUUUUUUUUUAAUUUUCUCCAACACAAUAUAACAUAACUGCAUUCAGACAGCUGCUGUUGGUUCUCCUUGGACUUUUCCCAGCAACCCCAUGCCAGGUCCCUGUGUGCCUCAGUGCAAGCAUUAAUAUUCUCCUACUCCUUCGACAAACAGCAGUCACAAGUCAUUGAACAAAUCUCCCCGGACAGUUGACGAAACUGAGGGAACAGAAAACAACUCAUUCCUCAUCCACAGAGUCAAGAACUGUUCCUGAAAGGGUUUUGAUUUUGGCUUUAAAAAUGUAACAAGAGAUCUUUGUUUUUACUUUUUCCACGGCAAGGAUAUUCACUCUAACAAAAAUAGACAGGAAAGUAGAACACAGCUGAUGUCCUUAAGAAGUCAACAGUCACAUCAAAACGUAUGGCUAUCUCCGUUCUUGAUUAAUGCCACGUGAAAGGUGGCUCCAUAGCUAUGAGCUCUGGGCAAAAGCUGAAAACUUUCUCGAGGUGUUGCCAGCUGUUUUGUAAAAGCCAGAAAGAGUGCUUUUCACAGAAGAGGCUGCAGUAUGUUUGCUAGUCACACAAGUGCUCACAAUUCAGCAGCAUCUAUUCAUGCUGCCUUGUGACUAACUGCAUUAUAUGUACCUUGCAGGGACCAGGCAGCAGCUCCAUGCCGUCAUCUCUCUGGUAAAUCACAAUGAUCAAAACUGAAAAGCCCUUUUCCUACUGUUUCUUUCUUUAAAUGUAGUUGUUUUUUGAAGCAAGAAAAAAAUAUAAAGUGAGAGAGAGCUGAAGUAAAGAUGUAAAGGUCUGGAGACACAGGCUCUGCCAGCUUACAGCAAAACCGAGCUGCUGACUCUAGAUGGAAAAUAUGCCCAUUUGCUUAGGCUGAAGAGUCUGUUUUGCUGAGGCCACCCAAGCCAGGUGAUGUUCCAGUACCAUCAAAAAGUGUCCUCGUGCUAACGGCAAUGAAAGCCCUCAGCUAAAGUCGAGGUUUAGAGCACCCGUUCUGGGACUCUCUCCCCUUGUUCCACCACAUCACCUGCAGCUGCUGGAGGCUUGAGCCACUGCACUUUUAUAAAAUACUACAAUUCUGGAAAAGGACCAGAAAGACAAUGAGG
rnacentral:lncRNA from 1 species